GAUGUAGCAACCGCCGGAAGUUACUGCUGUGGCGGCGCCGCCUCCUCCGACCACCAUGGCUCGAGAUUCUUGGGGGGUUUUGCUUGUCUCAGUCCCAGCAACAUUCCCACAAAAGGAAUCGAGCCAAAUCGAAGUGUGACUGACGAAACGAGUGAGGAAAUUACUUUCAGGGUCGUGGAAGUUGCACGCAGGAAAGAAGUGGAUAACUCUGCAGGUGUGGAUUAGUGGGAAUUGACGUACCGCUCAGUGGACUUGAAGUUAUUUAUCUCCAGCUGGUGUGAGGAUUUUGUGUGACUAUCUUGUGAGUUUGUUGUGAGGAUUACGCAAUUCCAUUGUUAUAAUAUUGAAUUAUAAUUUGGGUUGUAAUAAUCGGUUUGACUGAGUUGUAUUUUGAACUCAGAGA